UUAAAUUGAAGAGUUUGAUCAUGGCUCAGAUUGAACGCUGGCGGCAGGCCUAACACAUGCAAGUCGAACGGUAGCACAGAGAGCUUGCUCUCGGGUGACGAGUGGCGGACGGGUGAGUAAUGUCUGGGAAACUGCCUGAUGGAGGGGGAUAACUACUGGAAACGGUGGCUAAUACCGCAUAACGUCGCAAGACCAAAGAGGGGGACCUUCGGGCCUCUUGCCAUCAGAUGUGCCCAGAUGGGAUUAGCUUGUUGGUGAGGUAACGGCUCA
rnacentral:rRNA from 2 species